GACAGAGGGUGCAAACGUUGUUCGGAAUUACUGGGCGUAAAGCGCGUGUAGGUGGAUUGGUGUGUCAGAUGUGAAAGCCCUGGGCUCAACCCAGGAACAGCACCUGAAACUACCAGUCUUGAGUGGUGGAGAGGGAAGUGGAAUUCCUGGUGUAGAGGUGAAAUUCGUAGAUAUCAGGAGGAACACCAGUGGCGAAGGCGGCUUCCUGGACACUAACUGACGCUGAGACGCGAAAGCGUGGGGAGCAAACAGG
rnacentral:rRNA from 1 species